AACAAUAAAUAAAGACAACAAUUUAAUAAGAAAUAGAUCUUUUGUAUUGAUUAAAAACAAAAUCUUCUUGUCUGCAAAUUCGUAACUUCAAGGGCGAACAUGUAAACAGGGCGAGUUGUUCCGAUACCAAAUUCACGCAUGCGUACUUCAAAUAUCUACAGUAAAAACAUCCGGUUACAAGUGAACAAAUAACGUUCAUGUAGAUGAGAUGAAAUCUAAUAAUUUACAUAAAUAAAAGGGUACAUAUUUACGAAAGUGAUUGUUUUUCAAUCCUAAUAUACAAAUUAAAUGAUUCAGAUGCUUAAUCAUGUGUAAAAAUCGGUGUCAGGAAUCAGAAGUUGUUAUGAAAUUGUAAUACACAGAAACGAAUGCGGCAUACGGAGAAUUCAAUGAUUUUAAAGUCGGCACCAUUGGCCUUCAGAAGACUUGAAGUCUUCUUCCACCAAAAAUCAUGCAUCUAAGACUAGAUUAUCAAUCCGUACACAUCCAACAUCCAAUGGAUUUAAUGUAAAGACGUC
rnacentral:lncRNA from 1 species